AUCUAGCUAAAGAGUCCCAAAUAGGACAAAACGCGCGUCCUAGAU
rfam:Schistosoma mattheei strain Denwood, Zambia genome assembly, scaffold: SMTD_scaffold0015090